rnacentral:rRNA from 1 species
AUACAGGGGAAUAGCCCGAAGAAAUUCGGAUUAAUGCUCCAUGGUUUAUCGAUAUGGCAUCGUAUUGAUAAUAAAGAUUUAUCGGUAUAAGAUGGGCAUGCGUAUCAUUAGCUAGUUGGUGUGGUAACGGCAUACCAAGGCAACGAUGAUUAGGGGUCCUGAGAGGGAGAUCCCCCACACUGGUACUGAGACACGGACCAGACUCCUACGGGAGGCAGCAGUGAGGAAUAUUGGUCAAUGGAGGCAACUCUGAACCAGCCAUGCCGCGUGCAGGAUGACGGUCCUAUGGAUUGUAAACUGCUUUUGUACAGGAAGAAACCUCCCUACGAGUAGGGACUUGACGGUACUGUAAGAAUAAGGAUCGGCUAACUCCGUGCCAGCAGCCGCGGUAAUACGGAGGAUCCGAGCGUUAUCCGGAAUUAUUGGGUUUAAAGGGUUCGUAGGCGGUCAGAUAAGUCAGUGGUGAAAUUUCUUAGCUUAACUAAGACACGGCCAUUGAUACUGUUUGACUUGAAUAGUAUGGAAGUAACUAGAAUAUGUAGUGUAGCGGUGAAAUGCUUAGAUAUUACAUGGAAUACCAAUUGCGAAGGCAGGUUACUACGUAUUUAUUGACGCUGAUGAACGAAAGCGUGGGGAGCGAACAGGAUUAGAUACCCUGGUAGUCCACGCCGUAAACGAUGGAUACUAGCUGUUCGGUUUUCGGACUGAGUGGCUAAGCGAAAGUGAUAAGUAUCCCACCUGGGGAGUACGUUCGCAAGAAUGAAACUCAAAGGAAUUGACGGGGGCCCGCACAAGCGGUGGAGCAUGUGGUUUAAUUCGAUGAUACGCGAGGAACCUUACCAGGGCUUAAAUGUAGAUUGACAGAUUUGGAAACAGAUUUUUCUUCGGACAAUUUACAAGGUGCUGCAUGGUUGUCGUCAGCUCGUGCCGUGAGGUGUCAGGUUAAGUCCUAUAACGAGCGCAACCCCUAUUGUUAGUUACCAGCGAGUAAUGGCGGGAACUCUAGCAAGACUGCCGGUGCAAACCGUGAGGAAGGUGGGGAUGACGUCAAAUCAUCACGGCCCUUACGUCCUGGGCUACACACGUGCUACAAUGGCAAGUACAGAAAGCAGCUACCUGGCAACAGGAUGCGAAUCUCCAAAGCUUGUCUCAGUUCGGAUUGGAGUCUGCAACUCGACUCUAUGAAGCUGGAAUCGCUAGUAAUCGGAUAUCAGCCAUGAUCCGGUGAAUACGUUCCCGGGCCUUGUACACACCGCCCGUCAAGCCAUGGAAGCUGGGGGUACCUGAAGUCGGUGACCGCAAGGAGCUGCCUAGGGUAAAACUAGUAACUAGGGCUAAGUC